GGCACAUUAGCACAGUGGUAUGCACGGCAGUGACUGGUCUUUUGAGGGACUACAACUUACAGGUGCUGGUUCAAUUCCAGCAUGUGCCA